UGUGAAGCAAAACCAUGCAUGUUAUAUACAUAAGAGCCCUUUAAAACUUCACUUCCCAUAUCCUUCUUCAUCAAAACCAUGACCAAGGCUACAUAAAAUUAAGCAAAGAAUUUAUAGUUACAGUCCAAAAAAAAAAACUUGGAUCCUGGCGGCGCCGGCGCAUAAUAGGUGCAGCUCUCUAGUGUGCUCAUGUUAUGUGCCAUCAAGAAACUCUGAUAGCAAGGAAGACGAGAACGGUCGAAAAGAGGCCUAUAAUGUUGGUGGAGGAAGAGGAGGAAGAAGAAGAGGAAGUAGAGAGAAAGGAUUCAUGGAGUCAUCGAAAGGUGUUGAAAUUGAAGCUCACCCUCUUAAGAGUAAUCUCAAGAAAUCUACAUCAAUGGUGGAAUUCAGGAAAGUUAGCUGGUCUGAUGCACAUGGCAAAGACAUUGCUCAUGUUCAAGAAUUUGAACCAAGCGAAGAAGGAGAGCUAGCAGGAGUAGGGAAAUCAUGUAAAUGUUCCAUCCAAUGAUGAAGGUAUAAAAUUCUCAAGUCCUGAAUUUCUAAAUUAAUUCCACCAAAAUGUAAAAUUCAGUUCAGAUAUUCUGUCCUAACAAUGUUUUGUACCGGUCUAAUAUAUUUAUAAAUUUAAUAAUAUUUACCACAAAAUUAAUAGACUCUAA